GCCUCAGCGGGCCACUGCUAUAAAACAUAAAAAAUAUAAACAUAAAAUAUGUACCAUAAAAACAAAAAGUUUUUAAAAAUAAAAAGCAGUUACAUUAAAAAAAAUUCAUUUAAUGAACUAUUUAAUGGAUAUUCCUGUACUUCUGGUGCUUGCAUAUUUAACUCUUCACUUUCCAGAGACUAUCUGUAUUUAUACCAAAGAGUAGGACUAAAGACUGGGUUUUGCCUGUUCCGUUCAUAGAGAGACUUCUGGAACCCUUUAGCAGUAAUAGAGGGGAAUGUAUUAGGUCUGCACACUUUUGGCAGCAUUCCUGAGCAGUCAUUUCUUUUCAGGCAGCUUCUCCCUGUUGAGAAGAGUUGGGACAUGACAGCGCAUUGUGCGAAAUUGUUUCUUCACCUUCUUGCUUAGAUUACAUCUGGUAACUAUGGAACAUGAUGACUGUUCCCACAGAGUUUCCAUGGAAUGACAAUCAGUAACUCCCACUGAACAUACUAGAAGCGUCAGUAGACUGUGUGCCUAGUCCAAGGCUUUUUUUUUUUUUUUUCAAUCUACAUUCUCAAAAAUUACUUUUUAAGGAGUCACAUUACCACACUGACCUAGGAAUAGCAUGUCAAUCAGGCUCUGUGUGAAAUGUCAUGAAAUGUCUUCAUGGUCUGAAAUUUCAGAAUCUUUCCCAAAUCCCCAAAGCCUGAAGUGAAUCUCUAUUUGUUCUGCUGUGACCAGAGAGGACAUGAGGCAGAACUCUCUAGAUUGCUUUUCUUCUUCUUCUUUUUUUUUUUCCUCUCCCCAUGCUACCAUGAACAUGCUGAGUUCUGUGUCCUGAUAAAAACAUACAUUGAUCUUUUCCUUCUUACUUUGCUGGGGCCAGGAAUAGGCUGGGAAGAGUAAAGUAAUGAAGAAAUCUGAAAUCCAUGAGAUGGUUUAGCUCAGGGCUGAAAUUGUCUUCAGGAAUUUUUAAGUGGAGAAUAUGAGAAGGGGAGCUUCAGAAAAGAAGAGAGUUUGUAUAGGAGAAAAUAGAGUUAAUUAUAAGCUCUUCCUCUAAAAAUAUAUAUAUAUAUAAUUAAGCACACUAUCCUUUAAGUCACUGAGCUUAUAUUAUUAAAAAAUCCAUUAUUAUUCCCAAAAGGAUAAAAUUAUAGUGAUGAAGAAGAUACCAGUGGUUGUCAAGGGUUAGGUUUGGGGGCAGGCUGUGACUAUUGAAGGAUGGUGUAAAAUUCUUUGUGGUAAUGGAAGAGCUCUGUAUUCUGAUUUUGGUUGUGGCUACUAGAAUUUACAUAUAAAAUGAAAAUUUCCUAGAACUAUACCUCACAGGGGGAAAAAAUGUAUGCAAAGCUGGUAGAAUUUGAAUAAGGUCCAUAUUUAAGUUACUAGUAUUAUACCAAUGUCUGCUUCCUGGUUUUGACCACUUACUAAGGUGCUGCAAGAUAGUAUCUUUGGGGAGGCUGAGUGAAGGGUAUGCAGGGACUUCUUGUGGUUCAAACUAUUUCAAAAUUAAAAAGGUAUUUUUUAAAAGGUAUCUUUCUAUGAUAAACUAUAAAGAUCAGCUCUUAUCCCACAUUUCUCACAAGGAAACUGAACUCAGUUGCAGAUGUAAACUGCUCAAAAUCCCUUAGAGUCUAAGUCUGAGGCCCCAUUACACAUGCUCAUCUUUUUAUCUCAGAAGCCUGACCUUAACAUCAGUAGAACAGAUUCUGGUUAUGAGGUGCCCUUCCCCACCAAAGAUUGGAGACUGGCUAAUAGACCCAAGGUCGUUGAUCUUUGAUAGAGACUAAGUGUACUUUUCGUGCAUCUUUGCUGAGAAAGCUAGAAUUGACCAAUCUAGCUGUUAUUUUAGGAAAUGUAGAUAAUUUAGCCCCCAGCCAAUAAAUUAUACUCAUUCUAGUUUGCUCUAGUUUUUCCCAAAGCAAUUGGCAUUGCCAUUCAGCAAGGCUUACCAAAGGCUGUUUUGAGUUUCUUCUGUUCUAUUCCAGUGUAUGGCACAGUGUCUGGCAAACAGAAGAUGUUCAGCUAGCACUUGAGAGGGAAAUGGAAUUCACAUUGCAUGAGGUCAAGGAACUGAUCUUUUGUAUGUUCCAAAUUUGCCAGCACCUUGCCAUGGAUUUGGUACACAGAAGAAACUCAUAACACAUUUCAUCUGAAGAACAGUAUUCUGUUCUUUAGACUCUAUUAGCCAGACAGUUUCCAGUCUGCUUUUAGAAUGAUGCUGAGAGUAACUGGUAAUAAGUUCAGGGAACCUGGAAAGAAAUAAACCAGGACGCAGGCAACAGUCAAUGAGUAAGUAAUGGCCAUGACUUUUACUAGAGCUUGGGUAUAGCUAUUAACUACGGUAACUACAAUGUAGGGGAGGGGGAGGGACUUGAAGCUGGAUGUAUAAUAUGACUGUUGAUAUGUGAAGGACAGUAUGAAAGUCUGAGCUUUCCCAGGGGAUCCUCCCAUUGUCAGACCCCAUCUUACUUCCUCUUACUUCUUGUCUCAAGAUCUAGCCUCUCGUGAUAGUCUUUUCCAUCCCCUUCUUUCCCAGAAUCCUCAUGAUAAAAACCUUCAAAAGCCAAAUCUCUGUGACUUUGUUUUUCAGAAAAAACUCCUUUAUUUUUUCCAACAAAUCCACCCCAUGUUUAGGAGCCUCAUCUCCCUCAUCCAACAGCUGUUGUGCUAAGCAGGAGAGUGGCCUGCCUCUGGAGUGUGUACUUCCUCUUCCCUGGCAUGCAGACCAGGUCAGACCAAAAGUAUUUCAGAUGUGGAAUAAUGUGGAAAAAAGACAUAGAAACAUGAAGGACAUGGUAUGUUUCAGGGACCAGGAGGUAGAAGUGAUUGAAGGGAGAGUGCUUUGUGGGGAAAAAAAUGCAAGCAAGGUUUGUUAGGUUGGGUUGGAAUAUAUAUCAAGAUAUGAAGAAGAGUUCCUGCUGUGUCACAGUUGGUUUAAUGAUCCAGCAUUGUCUCUGGCAGUGCAGGUUAGAUCCCUGGACCAGCACAGUGGUAAAGGAUCCUGUGUUGCUGCAGCUGUAGC
rnacentral:lncRNA from 1 species